rnacentral:pre_miRNA from 1 species
AAAUUGUCCCUUAAGUUUUGCAACUGUAGCAGUUUUAGUCCCCAAGGUCAAUUUUUGGUAAAAAAAUAAAAUAAAAUAACAGGUGACACCUCAUUUAGGGUGCCACGUCAGCGUAGACCGAGUCAAAAUUGGUCUUGGGGGCCAAAACUGCCACAAAUGCAAAACUUAGGGGGCGGUUU